rnacentral:rRNA from 1 species
GACGAACGCUGGCGGCGUGCUUAACACAUGCAAGUCGAACGGAAAGACCCUGCUUUUGUGGGGUGCUCGAGUGGCGAACGGGUGAGUAACACGUGAGUAACCUGCCCUUGACUUUGGGAUAACUUCAGGAAACUGGGGCUAAUACCGGAUAGGAGCUCCUGCUGCAUGGUGGGGGUUGGAAAGUUUCGGCGGUUGGGGAUGGACUCGCGGCUUAUCAGCUUGUUGGUGGGGUAGUGGCUUACCAAGGCUUUGACGGGUAGCCGGCCUGAGAGGGUGACCGGCCACAUUGGGACUGAGAUACGGCCCAGACUCCUACGGGAGGCAGCAGUGGGGAAUAUUGCACAAUGGGAGGAAGCCUGAUGCAGCAACGCCGCGUGCGGGAUGACGGCCUUCGGGUUGUAAACCGCUUUCGCCUGUGACGAAGCGUGAGUGACGGUAAUGGGUAAAGAAGCACCGGCUAGCUACGUG